GCUUGUCUCAAAGAUUAAGCCAUGCAUGUCUAAGUAUAAACAACUUUGUACUGUGAAACUGCGAAUGGCUCAUUAUAUCAGUUAUAGUCUACUCGAUAGUACCUUACUACUUGGAUAACCGUAGUAAUUCUAGAGCUAAUACAUGCGUAAAUACCCAACUGCUUGUCGGACGGGUAGCAUUUAUUAGAUUGAAACCAAUGCAGCUUCGGCUGGUAUUGUGUUGAGUCAUAAUAACUGUGCGGAUCGUAUGGCCUUGUGCCGACGACGUUUCCUUCGAAGGUGUGCCCUAUCAACUGUCGACUGUGAUAUAGACGCUCACAGUGGUUUUGACGGGUAACGGGGAAUCAGGGUUCGAUUCCGGAGAGGGAGCCUUAAAAACGGCUACCACAUCCAAGGAAGGCAGCAGG
rnacentral:rRNA from 1 species